rnacentral:lncRNA from 10 species
UUUUUUUUUUUUGUAUUUUAGUAAAGACAGGGUUUAGCCAUGUUGGCCAGGCUGGUCUCCAACUACUGGCCACAAGCAAUCUACCCAUCUUGGCCUCACAAAGUGCAGGGAUUACAGGUAUGAACCACCAUGCCCAGCCUGGUGAGGGUUUUACUUAAUGAAACUUUCGCUUCAAUUAUUUGUAUGUGUGUAGAUAAUUAUAAUUUAGAAUUUGAGGUGAGGAACAAUGACUCACACCUAUAAUCCUAGCACUUUGGGAGGGUAAGAUAAAAGAAAGAACAUGAGAAGAAAGUAGAGGCAUUAAUUCCUACUCACUUAUUAUUUAAUUUUUUCAUUCAACUAGUAUGAAGUAGGGAUUUGUUGAACUCCUAAUUCAUAUCAUGGUAGACAUUUGGUCUAGGCGCUAGGAAUACAGCAGUUCCAAAACAAAUUCUCUGCCUCUGUGAACUGUAUGUUCUAAUGGGGGAGAUCGAUUGCAAGUAACAAAACAACAAGCCUUGCUAGUUGGUGAUAAGGACUGUGGAGAAAGCAGGGUAAGGGGAAAAG